GCAAAGUCUUUACCUACUUGGACACACAGCACAGGAAUCCUGGCUUUCCUACCGACAUCAACAAGAAAUUUGUCAUUGUUGAGAAUCUUGGAAAAGGAUCAUUUGGGGAGGUAUGGUUGUCUGUUCA